rnacentral:rRNA from 3 species
UGUAGGCUGAAACUCGCCUACAUGAAGCUGGAGUUACUAGUAAUCGCGAAUCAGAAUGUCGCGGUGAAUACGUUCCCGGGUCUUGUACACACCGCCCGUCACACCAUGAGAGUUGGCAAUACCCGAAGUCCGUGAGCUAACCGCAAGGAGGCAGCGGCCGAAGGUAGGGUCAGCGAUUGGGGUGAAGUCGUAACAAGGUAGCCGUAGGAGAACCUGCGGCUGGAUCACCUCCUUUCUAAGGAA